GCUGACGUAGCUCAACCGGUCAGAGCGCCGGCUUCAUAAGCCGGAGGCUGGCCGUUCGACUCGGCCCGUCAGCACCA
rnacentral:tRNA from 1 species